AGCUGGAUGCACUCAUAGAAAUGUCCCAUUUUGCUUCCCAUUUUUACCUUGAGACUGAUGCAACAUGGACUAUGACAUGGGUUAGGGACAUGGGAGGGGACAUGCCCCCUCUGUAGAUCUAAAGAGCUCAUUUAAGCUCCCGCUUUCAAAGGCACCUCAAAGACAGUAUAAAACAAACCUUUGGACUGUAUACUGUCAUUUCUUAAAGAUUGCAUUCUGGAGGAAGUUUAGAAAAAAUGCUGGUUAUCUUGCUAUUCAGCCAGAUAAGACAACUGACAUUUCCACCCACUGCCAGCUGGUGCUUGUGCUACAGUGCAUCAACAUCCACAACAAUAUGCAAGGGUAUUUUUUCAAGUUCAACCCUCUUCAAAACGCAACCGCUGACACAAUCAGCACGGCACUGUUGGAGAAACUCAGCAUUAUUCUCCCUGAAGGAAAAGAGAGCAUAUUAGUCAUCCAGGCCUCUGACAGGGCUGCCUUUAUAAAGGGAGCCACAGCGUGAGGUAAAGGAUAUCUAUGGAAGUACACACUACGUCCACUGCUAUGUGCAGCAGCAAUCAACAUCACACACCCCCUGGAUCAGUACUUUUUUUUUUUCAAACAGUGGUGGAUUGGCUUCAUUUUUCUCCUGAUCAUUGAAGCGAACCACCGUGCCUGAUGUGUUGGCACAGACUUCCCACAACUUUUACAACAAGGUGGAACUUCCACAGUCCUGCUGUUAAGACUCAGCAUAAGGAUGACCACCUAUGGUUUUUUCCAGACCAUCAGAGCCUCACAGUAACUUUGAUCCUUCAGCUGUCAGAUAGGCUGGGGGCUUUUUUUGAGAAUGUUGGAGGAUUUCUGCUUUUUCCUGGAAGUGUCACAUGUGGACAUGAUGUUAAACCAGGAGCAUCGACUCUGUCUGAAUCACAGGAAUCAUCCAGAGGUUCACCAACAGCUUGCAAACAAUCAGGUUAGUGUCUGAAACCAUAAUUGUGGAUCAGGGACUCCAUUCCUGGUGUACAGUGAUCUGCAGCAGUAGUCCACAAAAAGACAGCGGACACCAGGAGAACAACAAUGGUUGGCUACAGAGGUUUGUGAUACUGAUUUGAGGCAUGCCAAGGAUCGGUUCCCAUUCACCAAUCACCAGAGCCGUUCUGUUGCAAAGAGAUUUGACCAUAGGACACACCUUUAAGUUCAUGGAUUCAGCGCUAGAAACCACGGUGAAGGCCCAGCCUGUGUUGAACAAGGCUGAACUCAAAACAGAACUAUCCCUUAUCUAUGAGAAUGAUGAGUUCAAAGUUUGUAGUGGCACUCUGACACUGCUUUCAGGCCACGUUCAAUGAGCCUGUCAGUCUUCUCAAAAUUCUCCUCAACAACAUCCAGGACAGCAGCAAAAUCAGGGAGGUGCAACUCUACUAUAAAGAGGAUCAACGCCUUCCUGAAACACA